AUGCAGUCGAGCGAGCUGAAUUCAAAGAUCCCUUCGGGGUGAUUUGUUGGACGCUAGCGGCGGAUGGGUGAGUAACACGUGGGCAAUCUGCCCUAAAGACUGGGAUACCACUUGGAAACAGGUGCUAAUACCGGAUAACAACAUGAAUCGCAUGAUUCAAGUUUGAAAGGCGGCGCAAGCUGUCACUUUAGGAUGAGCCCGCGGCGCAUUAGCUAGUUGGUGGGGUAAAGGCCUACCAAGGCAAUGAUGCGUAGCCGAGUUGAGAGACUGAUCGGCCACAUUGGGACUGAGACACGGCCCAAACUCCUACGGGAGGCAGCAGUAGGGAAUCUUCCACAAUGGACGCAAGUCUGAUGGAGCAACGCCGCGUGAGUGAAGAAGGUUUUCGGAUCGUAAAGCUCUGUUGUUGGUGAAGAAGGAUAGAGGCAGUAACUGGUCUUUAUUUGACGGUAAUCAACCAGAAAGUCACGGCUAACUACGUGCCAGCAGCCGCGGUAAUACGUAGGUGGCAAGCGUUGUCCGGAUUUAUUGGGCGUAAAGCGAGCGCAGGCGGAAUGAUAAGUCUGAUGUGAAAGCCCACGGCUCAACCGUGGAACUGCAUCGGAAACUGUCAUUCUUGAGUGCAGAAGAGGAGAGUGGAACUCCAUGUGUAGCGGUGGAAUGCGUAGAUAUAUGGAAGAACACCAGUGGCGAAGGCGGCUCUCUGGUCUGCAACUGACGCUGAGGCUCGAAAGCAUGGGUAGCGAACAGGAUUAGAUACCCUGGUAGUCCAUGCCGUAAACGAUGAGCGCUAGGUGUUGGGGACUUUCCGGUCCUCAGUGCCGCAGCAAACGCAUUAAGCGCUCCGCCUGGGGAGUACGACCGCAAGGUUGAAACUCAAAGGAAUUGACGGGGGCCCGCACAAGCGGUGGAGCAUGUGGUUUAAUUCGAAGCAACGCGAAGAACCUUACCAGGUCUUGACAUCCUGCGCUACACCUAGAGAUAGGUGGUUCCCUUCGGGGACGCAGAAACAGGUGGUGCAUGGCUGUCGUCAGCUCGUGUCGUGAGAUGUUGGGUUAAGUCCCGCAACGAGCGCAACCCUUGUCUUUAGUUGCCAUCAUUAAGUUGGGCACUCUAGAGAGACUGCCGGUGACAAACCGGAGGAAGGUGGGGAUGACGUCAAGUCAUCAUGCCCCUUAUGACCUGGGCU
rnacentral:rRNA from 1 species